ACGUUGAUAGGCCAGGGCGCCCGGGAGAAUUGGGGAGAAGAGUUCGGGGUCGGGGCCUCGGAAAGGCGGGAGGUGCCCCGCCGCUUCAGGAGCCCGGCGCGGGGCAGGAUGGGACGCCCCCGGGAAGGGGCGGAGCCGUGUCCGGGCUGCGGUUGGGGAAGCGCCGUCCCUCGGAGGGGCGUGUAGAGGGUUUCGCGGGCUUGAGCGGGGGGUUGGGGGCGGGGGGUGGAGGGCGUUCAAGGCUUGCACCGCGCCCACAGGAAGCUGCUUUAAUGGCUGGGCCUCCUUGGCAGCGGGCUCGCGGCAGGGCAGGACCUUGAAGACCACGCGGUUCAACUUCCAGUUUGCAGAUGUGGAAACGGAAGCCCAGAGAGGGUCUGCCACCGGUGCAAGGUUACACAGCUGGUUAGUGGCCUGCUCGGGACUGGACGCCCGCGCUCCGGACUGCCCUUGGCCUUGCACGCAGCUUCCCCCUUCGAGGAGAUUACCCAGACGCCAGGUGAUCCACAAUUUUGUCUCCAGGACAACCUUCUCCUGCACCCUCGCCGCGGUUCGAGCCGCCGCCUCUGCUCAACAUCAGUUGUGUUAAUACCAGUGAAGGCAAAUGGAUUUUUAAAGUCGCUGGAAUACUACGCUGGGGAGAUAAAUGUCUUGCAGCAAAGUUCCAGUCAAACAUAAGAUCCGAGAGAAGUAAUUUUAGUCCAGUUGAAGUUACUGAUGCCGCUGUCCAGUCCCUGUCUAACUCCCACGCUCCUGCACUCAGCAGGUGCUCGGGAGGCGCCGCAGUGAGGGAGUGCACGCACACCCUAGCAACUGACCACCUGGGUUCAUCCUAGCCCAUCUCUGCCACUUCCCAGCUUGCGUCACUUCGUUUGCUUAUAUAUGGAAUGCUAAUUUACCUACCUCAGAAGGCUUCUGGGAGUUCUUACGGUGAUGUCCCCGACCACGCCCCUCCAGUGGGGAAGACUAAACCUGAGGCUGUUUCUUCCUGAGCAAGGCUGACCUCCUUGGCCUCAUUUGUGAUUAGGAAGAAUGAGAGGAAAAGGGAUAGGGAGAAUGUUUGAAGAAGGAUGUAAGGGCCAGGACCCUGCAGCACCGGCACAACCAAAACUCUAUGAACGAUUUUCUGAACUCAGAAAUCAUCUCCGAACUGAAAUCAUCUCCAGAAUGAGAGGCCCACAUAAUGGAUGAAAAACAAAUGAAUUUCAGCUCAGUGAGUACACAGAGGAAAGUUACUAAAAAUCUUCCAGAGAGAACACAGGCCGCAUGAAAAGGAGCAAAGGUCAGAACGGUGCCACGCUCCUCGGCCACACUGGAAGACAGUGGAGGAUGCUUUCAAAUUAUUACCUAUAAUUUUAGGAAUCAGCCAAAUUGUGAAUUCAGUAAAGAAACUACUGGAGGAUGUGGUGCACCAAAACGAGAGAAUAAACUAAGAAACAGGAAGACAUGUGGUCCUAGAAACAGGAUAUUCAACAUAGGUGAGAAAUGAAGAGAAUCCCCAAGAUGAUGACAAAGGGAAAUCCUAGGGUGACAGACGGCCUGGCUUAGAGAGCGAUCAGUCAGGAUUGGGGCAGGAGGACAGAAGGCACCAGAAUGGAUGUCCCCAAGAAAUAAAAUGAGAUGAAUAGAGGAAAAAUGUACACUUUUGGUGAUAGUGGAGAAUAAAUUCAUUAUAGGGACAUGGAAAACUAAACAAAUAAAAACCAAUUUGUUAUUAAUAAUUCUAAAAAAUUGAUUUUUUAAUAAACUGAAAAAGAAAGCUUAAUUAUGGAAG